GAACCUAGUUCAAUCAGAUGGUA
rnacentral:siRNA from 1 species